UACGUAGGGUUCAAGCGUUAUCCGGAUUUAUUGGGCGUAAAGCACAUGUAGGUGGAUUGACGCGUCUCUUUUUAAAUCUCUGGGCUCAACCCAGAAUCUGGAGGAGAUACGGUCUUUCUUGUGGUCAGCAGGGGCAAAUGGAAUUCCCGGUGUAGGAGUGAAAUCCGUUGAUAUCGGGAGGAACACCAAUGGCGAAGGCAAUUUGCUAGGCUGAUUCAGACACUGAGAUGUGAAAGCGUGGGGAGCGAAUGGG
rnacentral:rRNA from 1 species